GCAAACUUGGUCAUUUAGAGGAAGUAAAAGUCGUAACAAGGUUUCCGUAGGUGAACCUGCGGAAGGAUCAUUAUUGAAUAACUUGGUGUUGAGCUGGCCCUAGUCGGGCAUGUGCUUGCAUCAUAUUAUUUAUCUAUCUCUUGUGCACCUUUUGUAGUCUUUGAAGUGUUCGCAGUCAGUGCGGUAUUGGGUCUUGGGCUUGCCCUGUUCCCUGUUUAGCUUCAAGGGCUAUGUUUAUAUACACUAGUCUGAAGUCACAGAAUGUAUCUUAUUGACUCUUGAGUCAGUAAAUCUAUACAACUUUCAGCAACGGAUCUCUUGGCUCUCCCAUCGAUGAAGAACGCAGC
rnacentral:misc_RNA from 1 species